rnacentral:rRNA from 1 species
UUUUAUCAAGGAAGAAGAUCUGACGGUACUUGAUGAAUAAGCCACGGCUAAUUCCGUGCCAGCAGCCGCGGUAAUACGGGAGUGGCAAGCGUUAUCCGGAAUUAUUGGGCGUAAAGCGUCCGCAGGCGGUCUUUUAAGUCUGUCGUCAAAGCGUGGAGCUUAACUCCAUUACUGCGAUGGAAACUGGGAGACUAGAGUGUGGUAGGGGCAGAGGGAAUUCCCGGUGUAGCGGUGAAAUGCGUAGAUAUCGGGAAGAACACCAGUGGCGAAGGCGCUCUGCUGGGCCAUAACUGACGCUCAUGGACGAAAGCCAGGGGAGCGAAAGGGAUUAGAUACCCCUGUAGUCCUGGCCGUAAACGAUGAACACUAGGUGUCGGGGGAAUCGACCCCCUCGGUGUCGUAGCCAACGCGUUAAGUGUUCCGCCUGGGGAGUACGCACGCAAGUGUGAAACUCAAAGGAAUUGACGGGGGCCCGCACAAGCGGUGGAGUAUGUGGUUUAAUUCGAUGCAACGCGAAGAACCUUACCAGGGUUUGACAUCCUGCGAAUCUCUUGGAAACGAGAGAGUGCCUUCGGGAACGCAGUGACAGGUGGUGCAUGGCUGUCGUCAGCUCGUGUCGUGAGAUGUUGGGUUAAGUCCCGCAACGAGCGCAACCCACGUCGUUAGUUGCCAGCAUUUAGUUGGGCACUCUAGCGAGACCGCCGGUGAUAAACCGGAGGAAGGUGUGGAUGACGUCAAGUCAUCAUGCCCCUUACAUCCUGGGCUACACACGUACUACAAUGCUACGGACAAAGGGCAGCAAGCUCGCGAGAGUUAGCAAAUCCCAUAAACCGUGGCUCAGUUCAGAUCGUAGGCUGCAACUCGCCUACGUGAAGGAGGAAUCGCUAGUAAUCGCAGGUCAGCAUACUGCGGUGAAUACGUUCCCGGGCCUUGUACACACCGCCCGUCACACCAUGGA